UACGUAGGUGGCAAGCGUUUGUCCGGAUUUAUUGGGUUUAAAGGGUGCGUAGGCGGUUCCAUAAGUCAGUGGUGAAAUACAAUAGCUUAACUAUUGAGGUGCCAUUGAUACUGCGGAACUUGAGUACAGACGAGGUAGGCGGAAUUGACGGUGUAGCGGUGAAAUGCUUAGAUAUCGUCAAGAACACCGAUAGCGAAGGCAGCUUACUAGACUGUAACUGACGCUGAGGCACGAAAGUGUGGGGAUCAAACAGG
rnacentral:rRNA from 1 species